rnacentral:rRNA from 1 species
GACGAACGCUGGCGGCGUGCUUAACACAUGCAAGUCGAACGGAAAGGCCCUGCUUUUGUGGGGUGCUCGAGUGGCGAACGGGUGAGUAACACGUGAGUAACCUGCCCUUGACUUUGGGAUAACUUCAGGAAACUGGGGCUAAUACCGGAUAGGAGCUCCUGCUGCAUGGUGGGGGUUGGAAAGUUUCGGCGGUUGGGGAUGGACUCGCGGCUUAUCAGCUUGUUGGUGGGGUAGUGGCUUACCAAGGCUUUGACGGGUAGCCGGCCUGAGAGGGUGACCGGCCACAUUGGGACUGAGAUACGGCCCAGACUCCUACGGGAGGCAGCAGGGGGGAAUAUUGCACAAUGGGCGGAAGCCUGAUGAAGCAACGCCGCGUGCGGGAUGACGGCUUUCGGGUUGUAAACCGUUUUCGCCUGUGACGAAGCGUGAGUGACGGUAAUGGGUAAAGAAGCACCGGCUAACUACGUG